CUUCGAACUUGUUCAAAAGUAACAACACGACGGAAUUAAAGUACGGAAAUGUAAAGUGUUUUUGAUGCCACACGCGGCGAAUAAAAGCAAUAACUGAUGAAAAGUAAAAUGUUCGGGGUGCCAAGAACUUCUUCACGUUGCACAACAUUAGCCUUUUAUACUGCCGAAUGGUAGAGGCCUAACCCUAGCUGCGCCGGUUCCAAAUCUUCGCCGGGAUCUUCUUUCCUUAAUUAGCUCGAUCUUUGAUUGAUCCUGAUUGAAGAUGGCGUCCAGCUGCAAGCUUAGUCAACCUUUCCCAUCCCUUCGGUCCUUCUAGUCUCUUCUUCAACCUUCCGCUUGUUCCAUGAGAUCUCCGAGAUUGACCUUCCUUUUAUGGCUCUGGCUGCCUGCUUCUUCCGGUAACGAUCAGAUCGACUGCUCUUAUCGGUGUGGCUCAUACCAGGUGGUUGCUCCAGGUUCCCAUGCCCCAAGUUGAAUUGGAGAGGUACUUGUUGGCCGAAGCUUUAUGCUGGUAAACAUGAUGUAGCAAUCUGGGCUUGGUAAGGCCCAUACUGACCGCAUUUCUUCCGUUUCCGCUCCACUGAUCUUCCUUCCUCCACAACUUUGUUUUCCCCCUGGACAGACCUGAACUGACACAAAUAAAGAGAAAAACAGGGCCAAAUGGCCCAAAAGUCGAAGACGCAUCACACCUACACACUUAAAGCAUACUUGUCCUCAAGUAUGUAGGUGGAUUCACAGAAGACACGGACGAAAAGGUUGAAAGAAAAGAAAUAAAACUAAGAGACACAAAACUUGCAUAGAUUUCAGGAUCAGAUCAUACCAACAUGCAUCAUUCAGUUCAGUCAAACCACAAAACCAGAGUAAUGAUCAUGCAUAAAGUGUGAUGGUAGUCUCUCUUCUCGCUCAAGCACCGGGUUAAGUGUUUACACUCAUAAUUUGCUGUGCUAGUUCCUCUAAGAGUUUGAUUAAAGACUACAAGUUAAGCACACUAGUAUGACUCAUCAAAGGGUCUUUGUUGGGUUGUAAUGGGGCAUACGGGGCUAAGGUGAGGUAAAUAUGGUUCAGUGGCUAAUUUCAGUAUCACCCUUACUCAGUAUACUCAUUCAGUACAGCUAUAACCAACCCUCUAUUCCCCUGUUUUCAAUGGGGUCCAUCUUUUCUUUGAUUCUUUCGUGGGCAAACGUUUUCAUUCACCAAAUAUGUAUAAUAAUUUUUUUUGUGCCCAGAUUUUCUUUCUUUUCUCCUGUUCCUUAUUUACCAUUUCAUGCACUUCAACAAUUCUUCCUCCUAGAUAUAGCAUCAAUAAAGCUCAAGAGAGAAUUAAUUCGGCUCAAAAUGGCAUUCAAGGGGUUAUUUUCUCAUCAAACAACAAAGAAGAAUCUGGGGCCCUAAGUCAAAGAAUCAUGCCCAAAUCAUACAAGUCAUGUACUAGCAAAAAUGAGUCCUCAAACAAAGUCAAGAUUUCCUAGUCACAGCAAAUUCUCUCAUAGACAUGCAUUCUUUUCAAUUUGGCCUUGAUCUCACCGGUGGGGUAUUUUCAGUAUCCUCACAACUACCAUCAUGCAUUUCAUACUCAAUCCACCAACCAUACCAAGACAGAAAUCAGCAUGCACAAUCUUUCACCAUCAACCAAUGCAAGUAGACUCGACCCAAGAACAGAUAAAACAGACGCUAAAACAAGAAAAAGCAAAAGAUAAAAUAAAAUCCUAAUCUACGAGUUCAGGGGAAAGUACUUAGUCAUUUUGGUCGGAGGAUCUCACCUCCGCAGCCAUCAUCUCUUUGAUUUCCUUAAAGCAAGCUUCCAUCGCUUUGAAUCCUUCCUCCACAGUGUCCCUCAGUGUGGCCACUUCUCCUCCCAGCAUCAC
rnacentral:lncRNA from 1 species